AUCAUGGCUCAGAUUGAACGCUGGCGGCAGGCCUAACACAUGCAAGUCGAGCGGUAGAGAGAAGCUUGCUUCUCUUGAGAGCGGCGGACGGGUGAGUAAUGCCUAGGAAUCUGCCUGGUAGUGGGGGAUAACGUUCGGAAACGGACGCUAAUACCGCAUACGUCCUACGGGAGAAAGCAGGGGACCUUCGGGCCUUGCGCUAUCAGAUGAGCCUAGGUCGGAUUAGCUAGUUGGUGAGGUAAUGGCUCACCAAGGCGACGAUCCGUAACUGGUCUGAGAGGAUGAUCAGUCACACUGGAACUGAGACACGGUCCAGACUCCUACGGGAGGCAGCAGUGGGGAAUAUUGGACAAUGGGCGAAAGCCUGAUCCAGCCAUGCCGCGUGUGUGAAGAAGGUCUUCGGAUUGUAAAGCACUUUAAGUUGGGAGGAAGGGUUGUAGAUUAAUACUCUGC
rnacentral:rRNA from 1 species